AUUGAACGCUGGCGGCAUGCCUUACACAUGCAAGUCGAACGGCAGCGCGGGAGCAAUCCUGGCGGCGAGUGGCGAACGGGUGAGUAAUACAUCGGAACGUGCCCAAUCGUGGGGGAUAACGCAGCGAAAGCUGUGCUAAUACCGCAUACGAUCUACGGAUGAAAGCAGGGGAUCGCAAGACCUUGCGCGAAUGGAGCGGCCGAUGGCAGAUUAGGUAGUUGGUGAGGUAAAGGCUCACCAAGCCUUCGAUCUGUAGCUGGUCUGAGAGGACGACCAGCCACACUGGGACUGGGACACGGCCCAGACUCCUACGGGAGGCAGCAGUGGGGAAUUUUGGACAAUGGGCGCAAGCCUGAUCCAGCCAUGCCGCGUGCAGGAUGAAGGCCUUCGGGUUGUAAACUGCUUUUGUACGGAACGAAACGGCUCUUUCUAAUAAAGAGGGCUAAUGACGGUACCGUAAGAAUAAGCACCGGCUAACUACGUGCCAGCAGCCGCAGUAAAAC
rnacentral:rRNA from 1 species